rnacentral:rRNA from 1 species
AGGGCACACGGAGGAUGCCUAGGCGCCAGGAGCCGAAGAAGGACGUAGCGAACGACGAUACGCCUCGGGGAGCCGUAAGCAGGCUUCGAUCCGGGGAUUUCCGAAUGGGGGAACCCACAUGGUCUAAUCGCCAUGUACCCUGCAGUGAAUUCAUAGCUGCAGCGGAGGCAGACCCAGGGAACUGAAACAUCUAAGUACCUGGAGGAAGAGAAAACAAACAGGAUAUUUUCCUUUGGAAAAAUCCGUAGUGAUUCCGUCAGUAGCGGCGAGCGAACGCGGAUUAGCCCAAACCUGGGAGCUUGCUCCCAGGGGUUGUGGGACGUCUCACAUGGAGUUACAAAGGUGUUCAUUAAUUGAAGAGGUCUGGAAAGGCCCGCCAUAGCAGGUAACAGCCCUGUAGGUGAAAGUCAGCACCCUCCGAGACGGAUCCCGAGUAGUGCGGGGCACGUGAAACCCCGUAUGAAUCCGGCAGGACCAUCUGCCAAGGCUAAAUACUACCUGGCGACCGAUAGUGAAGCAGUACCGUGAGGGAAAGGUGAAAAGCACCCCGGGAGGGGAGUGAAAUAGAACCUGAAACCGUGUGCCUACAAGAAGUCAGAGCACAAUUAAAGUGUGAUGGCGUGCCUUUUGUAGAAUGAACCGGCGAGUUACGUUUGCGUGCAAGGUUAAGGUGGGAAGCCGGAGCCGAAGCGAAAGCGAGUCUGAAUAGGGCGAAGUAAGUACGUAGACGUAGACCCGAAACCGGGUGAUCUACCCCUGUCCAGGGUGAAGGUCAGGUAACACUGACUGGAGGCCCGAACUCACGAGCGUUGAAAAGCUCGGGGAUGAGGUGGGGGUAGCGGAGAAAUUCCAAUCGAACUCGGAAAUAGCUGGUUCUCCCCGAAAUAGCUUUAGGGCUAGCCUUGGGUGCAGAAUUAUGGAGGUAGAGCACUGAUUGGGUGCGGGGCCCGCCAAGGGUUACCAAGUCUAGUCAAACUCCGAAUGCCAUGGAUUUUUGCCCAGGAGUCAGACGGUGAGUGCUAAGAUCCAUCGUCAAGAGGGAAACAGCCCAGACCAUCAGCUAAGGUCCCCAAGUGUGUGUUAAGUGGGAAAGGAUGUGGAGUUGCACAGACAACCAGGAUGUUGGCUUAGAAGCAGCCACCAUUGAAAGAGUGCGUAAUAGCUCACUGGUCGAGUGACUCUGCGCCGAAAAUGUAACGGGGCUAAACACGCCACCGAAGCUAUGGAUGCGCAUUUCUAACGAAAUGCUCGUGGUAGGGGAGCGUUCCAAGCAGCGUUGAAGGUUGACCGGAAGGACAGCUGGAGCGCUUGGAAGUGAGAAUGCCGGUAUAAGUAACGAAAAGACAAGUGAGAAUCUUGUCCGCCGAAAGCCCAAGGUUUCCUGAGGAAGGUUCGUCCGCUCAGGGUAAGUCGGGACCUAAGGCGAGGCCGAAAGGCGUAGUCGAAGGACAACAGGUUGAAAUUCCUGUACCACCGGAAGCCGUUAUGAGCGAUGGGGUGACGCAGGAGGGAAGAGACGCAGGCGGAUGGAAGAGCCUGUCCAAGCAGUAAGGGGGAUGUGUAGGCAAAUCCGCACAUCGGUAACCUUGAGCUGUGACUGGGGAGGGGAACUUAAGUACCCGAAGGUCUUGGACUCACACUGCCAAGAAAAGCCUCUAGCCAGGUGAAGGUGCCCGUACCGUAAACCGACACAGGUAGGCGAGAAGAGAAUUCUAAGGCGCGCGGAAGAACUCUCGUUAAGGAACUCGGCAACAUGACCCCGUAACUUCGGGAGAAGGGGUGCCUCGGUAGGGUGAAUAGCCCGAGGGGGCCGCAGUGAAAAGGCCCAAGCGACUGUUUAGCAAAAACACAGGUCUGUGCGAAGCCGUAAGGCGAAGUAUACGGGCUGACGCCUGCCCGGUGCUGGAAGGUUAAGAGGAGAGGUUAGGGGCAACCCGAAGCUUUGAAUUGAAGCCCCAGUAAACGGCGGCCGUAACUAUAACGGUCCUAAGGUAGCGAAAUUCCUUGUCAGGUAAAUUCUGACCCGCACGAAUGGCGUAACGACUUGGGCGCUGUCUCAACGAGAGAUCCGGUGAAAUUUUACUACCUGUGAAGAUGCAGGUUACCCGCGACUAGACGGAAAGACCCCAUGGAGCUUUACUGUAGCUUGAUAUUGGACUUGAGUACGGUCUGUACAGGAUAGGUGGGAGCCUUGGAAGCCGGUGCGCCAGCAUCGGUGGAGGCGACGUUGGGAUACCACCCUGAGCGUAUUUGAGUUCUAACCUGGUGCCGUGAUCCGGUACGGGGACAGUGUCAGGCGGACAGUUUGACUGGGGCGGUCGCCUCCUAAAGCGUAACGGAGGCGCCCAAAGGUUCCCUCAGAAUGGUUGGAAAUCAUUCGCAGAGUGUAAAGGCAGAAGGGAGCUUGACUGCGAGACGUACAGGUCGAGCAGGGACGAAAGUCGGGCUUAGUGAUCCGGUGGUACCGUAUGGAAGGGCCAUCGCUCAACGGAUAAAAGCUACCCUGGGGAUAACAGGCUUAUCUCCCCCAAGAGUCCACAUCGACGGGGAGGUUUGGCACCUCGAUGUCGGCUCAUCGCAUCCUGGGGCUGAAGUAGGUCCCAAGGGUUGGGCUGUUCGCCCAUUAAAGCGGUACGCGAGCUGGGUUCAGAACGUCGUGAGACAGUUCGGUCCCUAUCUGUCGCGGGCGCAGGAAAUUUGAGAGGAGCUGUCCUUAGUACGAGAGGACCGGGAUGGACGUACCGCUGGUGUACCAGUUGUUCCGCCAGGAGCACCGCUGGGUAGCUAUGUACGGACGGGAUAAACGCUGAAAGCAUCUAAGCGUGAAGCCCCCCUCAAGAUGAGAUUUCCCAUCGCGUAAGCGAGUAAGACCCCUUGU